AUGAGCUGUUCCGCGUGCUCUUGGACCUCCACCGCUGCCUCGACGCCUUCAGCGAGUACCGCGACCGAGCCAAGGGCCUCGUCCAGGCGGCCGCCACGGCCCCGCCGCCUCCCGCCACGACAAGCUGUUCCGCGCCAUGCGCGUGGUCGACAAAGAUCUCUGGGCCGCCGCUGCCGGCUGGGAGAAGAAUCGCCCUCCGACCACGCCGCUGGCAGCCGAGGACAAAUAGCCCAAUCGAUCUACCUCGUCUCCUAUUCAGGUGAUGUUUAUCAUUCUUGUUUUUUUCAUGUGAUGUUCAUCGUUCCUCUUAUUUUCUCGGUUGAUGUGCUAAUCAUGUUAGUCAAAGAUGAAUGUAACUGUGACGGGAAAGGAGAGAUGGACCGGGAUAUUUUGCCUCGGUGUGUCGCAUGGUGGCCGAGAUGCGGCAGCCCCAUGCUCUGUUCUGAUGGGCCUCCUCUGCUCGAUGGUUGCCGCUGGUUGAGGUUCGUCCUUCUCUGGUUCGGAUGUUCUUCGCCACUGUUUUGGAUUCGUCCUGCUAAUUUCGCAUGUUUGCCUUCGUUUCAUUCAUGCGCAGUUUGGUACAGUUUCCUGUUGUCGCUUGCAUCGAGCCCGGGGUCCAUCUCUCCUUCUCAUUGA
rnacentral:rRNA from 1 species